rnacentral:rRNA from 1 species
CAUGCAAGUCGAACGAAGUAGCAAUACUUAGUGGCAGACGGGUGAGUAACAUGUAGGUAUCUGCCCUUUGGCCUGGAAUAACACGAGGAAACUUGUGCUAAUACCGGAUAAGUCUUUACGGAGAAAGCUUUAUGCACCAUUGGAUGAGCCUGCACUUGAUUAGUUUGUUGGUGGGGUAAUGGCCUACCAAGACUUUGAUCAAUAGCUGAUUUGAGAGGGUGAUCAGCCACAUUGGGACUGAGACACGGCCCAAACUCCUACGGGAGGCAGCAGUGGGGAAUCUUGCACAAUGGAGGAAACUCUGAUGCAGCGAUGCCGCGUGAGUGAAGAAGGCCUUUGGGUUGUAAAGCUCUUUCGUCGGGGAAGAAAAUGACUGUACCCGAAUAAGAAGGUCCGGCUAACUUCGUGCCAGCAGCCGCGGUAAUACGAAGGGACCUAGCGUAGUUCGGAAUUACUGGGCUUAAAGAGUUCGUAGGUGGUUGAAAAAGUUGGUGGUGAAAUCCCAGAGCUUAACUCUGGAACUGCCAUCAAAACUUUUCAGCUAGAGUUUGAUAGAGGAAAGCAGAAUUUCUAGUGUAGAGGUGAAAUUCGUAGAUAUUA